CUAAACAGUGGACUCACGUGCACACGUUUAAUAGGCGUUCCCUCUCGGGAGCAGGUAGAGUGUUGCGCAUGUGCAUUUUUUCAAAUAGUGGAGAGGGCGGUUCUUUU